rnacentral:rRNA from 1 species
UACGUAGGGAGCGAGCGUUGUCCGGAAUUACUGGGUGUGAAGGGAGCGUGGGCGGGAUUGCAAGUCAGAUGUGAAAUACAUGGGCUCAACCCAUGGGCUGCAUUUGAAACUGUAGUUCUUGAGUGAAGUAGAGGUAAGCGGAAUUCCUGGUGUAGCGGUGAAAUGCGUAGAUAUCAGGAGGAACACCGGGCGAGGGCGGCUUACUGGGCUUUUACUGACGCUGAGGCUCGAAAGCGUGGGGAGCAAACAG